rnacentral:misc_RNA from 1 species
GAAAUGCGAUAAGUAAUGUGAAUUGCAGAAUUCAGUGAAUCAUCGAAUCUUUGAACGCACAUUGCGCCCGCCAGUAUUCUGGCGGGCAUGCCUGUCCGAGCGUCAUUUCAACCAUCAAGCCCCCGGGCUUGUGUUGGGGACCUGCGGCUGCCCGCAGGCCCUGAAAACCAGUGGCGGGCUCGCUGUCACACCGGGCGUAGUAGAUUUUAUCUCGCUCAGGGCGUGCUGCGGGUUCCGGCCGUUAAAAAGCCUUUUUUACCCAAGGUUGACCUCGGAUCAGGUAGGAAGACCCGCUGAACUUAAGC